GGGAGCUCAGGUGGGGCUGCUCAGGGCAGAUGAGGUUUAUUAACGCAGCCAGGGGCUGGUGCUCACGUUUGGGAGAUACUGAGCUUAUGCACGGGGGGCUUGGUCUCAGAAGGUGGAAAUGAAGUAGCUGGGCUUGUCCUAUUGCCCCUCUUUGCUGCCAACCCUGGUGUCUGCCAAGAGGUGUCCUGUGGUGUGUCGGGUUGGCGUUGAGGCCGUUGCUCCGAAUGCCAAAGCCACCAGCGUGUGAGUGUCAGAGGGACAUGGAAACUUCUUUCUGCUGUGGCCAAGCAGGCUGUGGACCGCGAGGAAAGAGAACUGAUGGCAGAGGAGAGCUAACUGAGAAGCAGGAAAGCUGCCCGUGUGAAUAAAGCGUGGAUAACUCCUUCCGAACCGGGAUAAGCAUGGUGCAGAUGUGCCGCCCUGUAUUAGAACUGAUUAAAAACAAAUCAAAAGUUUAUCGCGCCUGGA